UACAGAGGGGGCAAGCGUUGUUCGGAAUUACUGGGCGUAAAGGGCGCGUAGGCGGCCUGCUAAGUCGAACGUGAAAUCCCUGGGCUCAACCCAGGAACUGCGUCCGAUACUGGUUGGCUUGAAUCCGGGAGAGGACGUGGAAUUCCAGGUGUAGCGGUGAAAUGCGUAGAUAUCUGGAGGAACACCGGUGGCGAAGGCGACGUCCUGGACCGGCAUUGACGCUGAGGCGCGAAGCCAGGGAGCAAACGGG
rnacentral:rRNA from 1 species